rnacentral:lncRNA from 1 species
CUAACUUAAAAAAAAUAAAAUAGCCAAGGAAGUGUGUAGGUUUUGGAUAAAUAUACAUGGGACAAAUAAAACAGAUCUGUGAUGAAAUAAAUUGUUUGCAUGUGUGGCCAAAAGGGCUUACUCAGUCAGACAUGUGAGCUGAAUCUGGCCCUUGCCCUAGAAAUUAUCCCAGCCCAUGUCAUGCUGCCCACAACACCUCCCAACUCUGCCAGAACAAUUUAACUCUGCACACUUGUAUGUGGCAGCUACUAUGCUAGGCUCUGUUCUAGACACUGCCGGUGAUGCCAAGGCAUUGGGCUUUACCUCUCCACCGCUGGUCCUCAAACUUCAACAUGUACCUGACUAACCUGGAGGUCUUGUCCACACACAGAUUGCUGGGCCCCAUCCCCAGAAUUUCUGAUUCAGGAGGUCUGAGGUGAAGCCCAAGAAUUUGCAUCUCUUGCAAGUCCCCAGGUGAUGCCAAUGCUGCUCUUCUGGGACCACCUUUGAGAACUGCCAAUACAGCCAGUCCUCUGGAGGAUUGGUUUCUGGGCACGUGGCCUCUGUGAAGGAAGUCUUUGUGUCAGCCACUACUUCUCACAGCAUGUGUGAGCUAGAGCUACAAAUAGGAAGCUGAAUUCGGAAUGGAAUCUGAUUUCUUUCCCCUUCCUCAGUUUUCGACUUCCCAAACCAGGAAGAAUUCCCUUUAAAAUUGGCCUGAGUGGCACAUCAGAACAUGCACAAUCCAACAACCAACACACACCGCCCACCGCCAAUUCCCUGGUCUAGAGGCUCUUUCUGCCUUCCGUGGUCACCCAAGCAGUGUCAUUUCAAGGAUUCAAAUUAGUACCUUCCUUGCCUCUCAGUCAAACUGUUUGCAAUUCUUCUAGGAAGAUUUCUCCUAACAGUUCCCUUGUCCAAUUGUAAAAAAUUGUCCAAUAAUUUUUUCAAUAAUUCCUGAAAAGCAAUCAUUGGCUUCUCAGUUCAUUGAGUGGAGGAGCCCACAGAAGUGGAAGGCAGUCUAGGUAACAGUUGAUGGGAGGAGAAUGCAAGUCCAGAGGCCUGGUUUGGGGGGAUGGUAGAGGGGAGGUGAUGAUGGGAGGGGCAAGAGGGAGUGACAGCCAGAAUAAUAUGGCCCUGGGUCUGGGAGGUGUGGGAGAAGGCUUCUGAGAGGACUGAGAGAUGAUACAAACACAAGCGAGACUAGCUUGCCCCAGUGGAUGAGUCCAUACUGACAUAAAAGACCUUCCACGUUCAUAAAGCUCCCCCAACCCUCCCCACCAUACAGAGUGUGCCUGGUGCAGCCUUCGAUGGGUCAGACUGAGUUUUCCAGGGCAAGAGAACACUCUCAAGAAAAGAGCUUAGCU